GGCUGCACCUCUUCUAGACCCCAUUUAAGAGCUGAUUGCCAGUGGGGAAGGGUCUCUUUCUGGUGGUUCCUCCUUUGUAGUUUUGCAGUGAGCCUAGGACAAGCUCUCUUGGUAACGUGGACCUGGAGCCUGAUGGUCACAAGUGUCCUGCAGGUGGAUGAAAGAGGGAAUUUCUUCUCAAAGUUAAGUUAAUCUAUGAUGGCAUACUCCGCCAGAUGAUCUGCGAGCUUUGUGUAAUGGAUGCAGUAAUAAGUACGUGCCUUGUAUGUGUUAAGUCUACAAACAAGGUGUCUACAUAUCCUUAGUAGGAAUGAAAAGAAGCAGGAUCCUUGCACAGUGAGACAAGUGUGAGAUGGUGACUAUCUUAAAAAUUUCCCUCAGCAGUCACUUUAGUUCAAUCACUCGCUAAGGCAUCUCUUAAUUUUGUACUCCUGUUACAUGAAGUGGAAUCUGAAAUUGCUGGCAAAGUCCACGUUAUCAGUUCUAUUUGCUGACUUUAGCCAUCUACGUUUUUUGUAUUCUUUGCUUGUUCUUGAGCUCAAUGAAAAGGAUGCUUUACAGCAAGCAUGACCACUCCAUGCUACAGAAAUGGACUCAAAAUGAUACUGAGAAGCAAGGUGUUUGCAUGAUAUUUGUACAGGAUUAAGCCUCGGAUGCCUGAAAUACGCUUGUUGCAAUGAUUCUGUGGUAAAAUUUUAUGGAGCGUAACAUCGGAGAGCUGAAAGACAUGAAUAAGCCAAAUCAACGUAUGUGUUUGCACUGUAGAAUGGCAUUUACAACAAAAGUGGUAAACCAACCUCAUUUCAGAACAAUUCUCCAGACACCGUGCAGAUCAGCAGAAUUGAAGCCUGCGCUCACUAUAAGCCCAGAAGAAAAACUUACUCCAGUUUAAUGGACAACAUAACACUGCACUAGGGUCAUGAUAGGAGGUGAUGAGGGAAGUAGAGUUGGAAGAAAUUCAAUAUAAUUAAAGAUCAGAGAAAGAAGUGCAAUUGCAUUUACAUCCGAUGUUAAAAUUCUUCACCUACUAGAAGUGUAUUUUUUCAAUAAUAUUAUUUUGAAAACUGUAAUUUAUUUUGGUAGAAUAUGGGAAGAGUGGCAUACAUACUUUUUUGGUCUUAACUAAAAGUGUUAUACAUCAUCAGCUCUGAACUUGUACUGAACGUAGUCUGACAUCAGGAUCUGUCACACUUCAACUCAAACCAAGUACGAUCAGGAAUACAGGUAGCUCUAAUAUUUUCUAGUUGAAUUUUACCAGUGUAAUCCGACAUAAUUUGUGAUAAUAGAUUAGCAGCACAGUAACUGCUUAAUGGUGCAUACUUGAGCAGUGUUAUUUUAGUUAAAAAAAAAAAACUGUACUCAUUCAGUGGAGCCAUAGUUCCAUGCAAUAUGUUCAUAUUCUCUGACAUACAAAUAAAAAUAAGUUAAUUUUCCUGUAGUUUGAAAACAUAUGAGGCAUUUUCUUACAGAUGGUUGAAACUUCUUCUAUGAGUUACACAUGAAUUGACCAAAAUUCAUGUCAUUCAGAUACCUUCACACAGACAGAAAGACAAUAGAUGUAUUCAAUCUGUACCAAUUUGAUGAUGCUUAUCCAUAAAGAUUCUGUAUGUAACAUCUGUCCAUGUACAGUAAAGCAAGAAGUUUUCAAAUAGGGAAAUUAUCAAAGAAGAUAUUGAUAUCUUCGGAAAGAAGGAUGGUAGAUAAUUAAGUACUGAUUUUGGUGUCAACCUUCUGGCCUUUUCUGCGUGUUGUUGGAAAAUAGGUCAUUGCUUGUUUUUCAGUAGCCACGGAGUGCAGCACUUCCAAAGUACAGCAUAACAUCCAUGUACACAAAGAGAAUUUAUUUUUCAGUGAUCAAUAAAAUGAGCAGCUACUACACAUUGGCAAUUAUGUGGCACUCUAAGCCUGGGAAGAUUAAGUGUUUACUUCCCAGCACCACUAUACUCUUUCAAAACCCGUAUUUUCCUUCUCUUUCACACUUUUUAAUCUCCCUAAUUGUUUUUUUGUUGUUCUUGUUAUUACAAAAGAAAACAUAGCUUACGUGCGUGUAAUGCUUUUCAUCCAGAACAAUGCCAAAGUACUAUACAGAGUCUGUAUUGUUUUAGAAUGAAGCUUCACAACAAAUGCAUUUUUCUGUAUUAACACUGUUUAGAGAGAAAAGAACCCUGUGUACAGAAUGGCAAGUACAUCAAGAAGACUAGAAUGUGUAUAUUCAUAUAUGAAUUGUUAGUUCAAGAGUGAAGAUUGAUGCAGAACCUCCAAUACUGUCUGUUCAAUUUUUUUUCUUUCCGUAGUUCAAGUAUUUUAAUGUCAUGUUGUUUAAGGUUUAUGAUUUGUAGAAUAAUCAAUAGAUACUCCAGACUUCUGUAAGCCAAGGAAGAAUCUGAAGGGGGAAACAUAAAAUGUACUAUAAAAAAAACCCUGGAAAACAUCAUUCCAAAUUUGAUCUCAGUACAUAAAUUAAAUUGAGCUUUCAUUUCCA